UAGCCUAGUGGUUAAGGCUGUGGAUCGCCAAUCCGGAGACGACGGGUUCGAUUCCCGU
rfam:Aedes albopictus isolate Foshan contig105932, whole genome shotgun sequence.